GAAGAGAGCAGGGCCCUGGGCAGGUGCUGAGCCAGGUCCUGCAGGUCACCCAGUCGCUUGAGUCCACGAAUGCUGGAGGCAGGCACUGGAGAGCCAGGGUGGUUCAGCCGCAGCUCCUCUGAGCAGGGAGUCAAACAGGGCUGAAACAGACACCAGCUCUCCAGGACCAGCUGGAGUUCACAGUCCAGAGGAGAAGCCCGAUGCUGAACAGAGAAUCACAUCCGUGAGCAACACAAAAGGCAAGGCAAACCCUGGGCAGAUGCCCCCGGGACUGUGUGUUAUGGGCCUACAGGAAGCCUCUCCCAAUGAAAAAGCAAUUUUUCAGCCAGAACCUCCACCAGUGUCUUUCAAACUGAGCCUGGACCUGUGGCCUUCCCUGCCUCCACCUGGGCCUCAACCGUCACGACCACCUGGCCUUUGAGAAAUCAAAUGGCUCACGCUGUGUCUCAGAGCUGCAACGAUCCAACGCCCUCCAUCCUUCAGAGGCUGUCUGAGUCCGGGGACACAACUCCCACCCUCCUCUCCUGCCAGCCGCGGCCCGUGGCUGCUCUCUUCACUUCGUCCCGCUUCGCCCCGACUGUGGAUCUACCCGCUCCCUUCUCCCUCAGUCCCCAAAGCACCAGACUCACAGGCCUGCUGUGUGACCCACUUUUACCGACCUUUCGGGGAGAGUAGAGGGCAUUUGUGACUCAGCUCAGAGCAGGAAACACAUCUCACGUCAACUGUCAGACAGCGCUGCUCCGAAUCCCAUCACAGUGCUCCAGCAGGGGGCGUCCUCACCGGCCGCGGCCACAGCCACGGCUCAACCCGGCCUAGCUCCCAGACACCCUCCUUCCACCGCCUGUUUUCCACCGUCCCCGCCUGCUCUUUCAAGCCAGCAGCAAACAACACCCUAAUCCGUGUCUUUAUUAUUCAAAGACCUUAAGCACUCUUUCCCACCUCGUUCCCAUCUUGAUUAUUUCAGGGAAUGAAUUAGGGAUUCACCUUUACAAUCAAAAAAGUUCUCUCAAAGCCAGGCUACUGGAGUUCUAAUUCUGCCUUCCCACUUUUACUAGCUGUGAAAUCUCAGGAAAGUUACUUAACCUCUCUCUGUCUCAUUUUCCUCAUCUUUAAAAAACAGGAUGAUAAUAUUUAGCUCCUAAGAUGGUUGUGAGGAUUUAAGUGAGCUGAUAUAUCCAAGAAUGUCUAGAACAGCGCGUGGCAGAAUGGGCAUUGCAUAUGGGUUUAAUCUUGUAACUGCCAUGUUUCACCAAUUCUAAGGUGUAUCUCGUUUCUCAUCAUAAGAGCUCUUCCGCUCGUGUGGCAGCUGGGAGUGGCCGUCAUUGCCUGCGCAUACCUAAACUUGGUCAGCAGCCAAGUGUUUUGUGAGACCUAAGAAAGGAAGAGCCCCAUAAGUAAAUGGAACUGUUGUGUUGUUUUAUUACCGAGAAAAGGGCAGAAUGAUUGCUAGUCACACGUGAAGCAAGAAAACCCCGGCAAUAAAGCUUGCAGAAUGAGUGGCUGAGGCUUGAAAAUAAAUGGUGGAAACAAUAGUGGACAAUCUUUUAAAGAAUGGCACAUUGCCAAUGCUCCUGAUGGCACAGAAGGUGACACCAUGCAGAAAAUCAAGGCUCUGAGUCAAAGAGGGUUUCAGAAAAAUUGGACUCUGAAUGUGAAGAAAUCUGGGGACUAUUUUAGCCAAUUUGUUUUGCCUAUAAUUUCCUUUUAUGCAUGCAAAAGAGCAAUUCUGACUUUAAAGACUGAUAUCUAAAUAAAUCUAAAAUAUCUUUUUUGUGUGUGUGUCUGUGAUACAGUGUCUCGCCCUUUCACCCAGGCUGGAGUGCAGUAGUGCAAUCUCAGCUCACU
rnacentral:lncRNA from 10 species